UGAGGAGUUAAUGACACUUUAUUCACUGC
rnacentral:piRNA from 1 species